AACGAACGCUGGCGGCAUGCCUAACACAUGCAAGUCGAGCGAAGGCUCCGGCCUUAGUGGCGCACGGGUGCGUAACGCGUGGGAAUCUGCCCCUUGCUUCGGAAUAACAGUUAGAAAUGACUGCUAAUACCGGAUGAUGUCGUAAGACCAAAGAUUUAUCGGCAAGGGAUGAGCCCGCGUAGGAUUAGGUAGUUGGUGGGGUAAAGGCCUACCAAGCCGACGAUCCUUAGCUGGUCUGAGAGGAUGAUCAGCCACACUGGGACUGAGACACGGCCCAGACUCCUACGGGAGGCAGCAGUGGGGAAUAUUGGACAAUGGGGGAAACCCUGAUCCAGCAAUGCCGCGUGAGUGAUGAAGGCCUUAGGGUUGUAAAGCUCUUUUACCCGGGAUGAUAAUGACAGUACCGGGAGAAUAAGCUCCGGCUAACUCCGUGCCAGCAGCCGCAGUAACAC
rnacentral:rRNA from 1 species